AUUGAACGCUGGCGGCAGGCCUAACACAUGCAAGUCGAACGGUAACAGGAAGAAGCUUGCUUCUUUGCUGACGAGUGGCGGACGGGUGAGUAAUGUCUGGGAAACUGCCUGAUGGAGGGGGAUAACUACUGGAAACGGUAGCUAAUACCGCAUAACGUCGCAAGACCAAAGAGGGGGACCUUCGGGCCUCUUGCCAUCGGAUGUGCCCAGAUGGGAUUAGCUAGUAGGUGGGGUAACGGCUCACCUAGGCGACGAUCCCUAGCUGGUCUGAGAGGAUGACCGGCCCACCUGGACCUGAGACACGGUCCAGACCCCUACGGGAGGCAGCGGUGGGGAAUAUUGAACAAUGGGGGCAAGCCUGAUGCAGCCAUGCCGCGUGUAUGAAGAAGGCCUUCGGGUUGUAAAGUACUUUCAGCGGGGAGGAAGGGAGUAAAGUUAAUACCUUGCUCAUUGACGUUACCCGCAGAAGAAGCACCGGCUAACUCCGUG
rnacentral:rRNA from 1 species